rnacentral:tRNA from 1 species
GCGGCCGUGGUCUAGCCUGGUUAGGACUCAGGCCUUCCAAGCCUGCAAUCCCGGGUUCAAAUCCCGGCGGCCGCA